rnacentral:rRNA from 1 species
GACGAACGCUGGCGGCGUGCUUAACACAUGCAAGUCGAACGGAAAGGCCCUGCUUUUGUGGGGUGCUCGAGUGGCGAACGGGUGAGUAACACGUGAGUAACCUGCCCUUGACUUUGGGAUAACUUCAGGAAACUGGGGCUAAUACCGGAUAGGAGCUCCUUCUGCAUGGUGGGGGUUGUAAAGUUUUGGCGGUUGGGGAGGGACUCGCGGCUUAUCAUCUUGUUGGUGGGGUAGUGGCUUACCAAGGCUUUGACGGGUAGCCGGACUGAGAGGGUGACCGGCCACAGUGGGACUGAGAUACGGCCCAGACUCCUACGGGAGGAAGCAGUGGGGAAUAGUGCAAAAUGGGCGGAAGCCUGAUGCAGCAACGCCGCGUGAGGGAUGACGGCCUUCGGGUUGUAACCCGCUUUCGCCUGGGACGAAGCGUGAGUGACGGUAAUGGGUAAAGAAGCAACGGCUAACUACGUG